rnacentral:rRNA from 1 species
GCACAAGCAGUGGAGUAUGUGGAUUAAUUCGAAGCAACGCGAAGAACCUUACCAGGUCUUGACAUCCGAUGCAUAGCGCAGAGAUGCGUGAAGUCCUUCGGGACAUCGAGACAGGUGGUGCAUGGUUGUCGUCAGCUCGUGUCGUGAGAUGUUGGGUUAAGUCCCGCAACGAGCGCAACCCUUAUUGCCAGUUACUACGUAAGAGGACUCUGGCGAGACUGCCGUUGACAAAA